GACGAACGCUGGCGGCGUGCCUAAUACAUGCAAGUAGAACGCAGUUGCGAACGGGUGAGUAACCCAUAGGUAACUGUCUCUUAGCGGGUGAUAACUCUUGGGAACGCUAGCUAAUACCGCAUACUACUAAUUGGUCCUUCGUUGUAUUAGCUUGUUGGUGGUGUAAUGGCUCACCAAGGCAAAGAUACAUAGUCGCCCUGAGAGGGGGAGCGGCCAAACUGGGACGGAGACACGGCCCAGACUCCUACGGGAGGCAGCAGUAGGGAAUCUUCGGCAAUGGACGGAAGGCUGACCGAGCAACGCCGCGUGAGUGAAGAAGGUUUUCGGAUCGUAAAGCUCUGUUGUAAGAGAAGCGGUAUCUUACCAGAAAGGGACGGCUAACUACGUGCCAGCAGCCGCGGUAAUAC
rnacentral:rRNA from 1 species